AUGAGUGAAACAGUGUUUGUUUUGGAUAUGCUCAUGAAUUCGUCGUCGUCGUCUUCAUCGGACGACGACGAACUAAUUCUUGCAGCAUUUGCGGAGCGCGAUGAGGAAGAGGAGGCAAAUGCUCGACGUCAUGGUGGUUCCACGCUGGGACGGCAGUAUUUGUAUCGCGGAAGAGAUGCGGGAUUUGUUCUACUGUGGGACGACUACUUCAGAGAAAAUCCCACCUUUCCCGAAAGUUAUUUUCGUCGAAGGUAUAGAAUGUCUCGUAAUUUAUUUAAUCGCAUAGCUGAAGCAGUACUUGAGCAUGAUAGUUAUUUUAAGCAAAAAAGAAAUUAUGCUGGAGCUCUUGGAUUGCAUCCUCUGCAAAAGAUGACAGCUGCAAUGCGACUGCUAACGUAUGGAUAUGCCGCUGAUGCCGCGGAUGAGUAUUGUCGGUCUGGAGAAUCUACUAAUCUAGCAUCUUGCAAAAAGUUUGUGAUAGCUAUUUGUGAAGUCUUUGGGGACCAGUAUCUGAGAUCUCCAAAUGGAGAAGAUACUGCUAGAUUACUUGACAUAGGGGAGCAAAGAGGUUUUCCUGGUAUGUUAGGGUGUAUAGAUUGCAUGCAUUGGACUUGA
rnacentral:rRNA from 1 species